UAGGGAAUCUUCCACAAUGGACGAAAGUCUGACCGAGCAACGCCGCGUGAGUGAAGAAGGUUUUCGAAUCGUAAAACUCUGUUGGUAGAGAAGAACGUUGGUGAGAGUGGAAAGCUCAUCAAGUGACGGUAACUACCCAGAAAGGGACGGCUAACUACGUGCCAG
rnacentral:rRNA from 1 species